rnacentral:rRNA from 1 species
AGUGAACGCUGGCGGUAGGCCUAACACAUGCAAGUCGAACGGCAGCACAGUAAGAGCUUGCUCUUACGGGUGGCGAGUGGCGGACGGGUAAGGCAUACAUCGGAAUCUACUUUUUCGUGGGGGAUAACGUAGGGAAACUUACGCUAAUACCGCAUACGACCUACGGGUGAAAGCAGGGGAUCUUCGGACCUUGCGCGAUUGAAUGAGCCGAUGUCGGAUUAGCUAGUUGGCGGGGUAAAGGCCCACCAAGGCGACGCUCCGUAGCUGGUCUGAGAGGAUGAUCAGCCACACUGGAACUGAGACACGGUCCAGACUCCUACGGUAGGCAGCAGUGGGGAAUAUUGGACAAUGGGCGCAAGCCUGAUCCAGCUAUACCGCGUGUGUGAAGAAGGCCUUCGGGUUGUAAAGCCCUUUUGUUGGGAAAGAAAAGCAGCAGGUUAAUACCCCGCUGUUCUGACGGUACCCAAAGAAUAAGCACCGGCUAGCUUCGUG